rnacentral:lncRNA from 1 species
GAAAAUUGGAGUUGGGGGUAGCAGAUAAGAACUGUGGAAGAAUAGUAGAAAACAAAGGUUUUGCUCGACCGAUUCCUUCGAAACCAACAUUAAGCUGAUUCCAGAGACUGAAAUGCAAGCUACCAUCCUAAUCUACAGUGAAUGCGAUCCCAUGUAAAUACCUAGUAAAUUGCCUAAUGAAUCAAAACUCACACAACUCUGCGCAACAUCAAAAUAAAUAAAAGCUUUUCAUAUUUGCUGAGAAUGAAACACACCGUUUUUUACCGGGACGCUUUCUUGACGCCGUUGAGCAUGCCCUUGUUGGCAAGAGCACGGAAGACGAGACGAGAGAUACGGAAGGUCUCGUAGACGGCGCGGCCUCGGCCGGAGAAGAUGCAGCGGUUCCUGAUUCGUGUGAAGGAGUUGUUUCGCGGAAGCUUCGAGAGCUUGUAGCGGUUCUCCUCCCGCAAGUCGUCGGGGAGGCUCGUGUCUUUGCACAGCACCUUGUAAAGGUUCCGCCGGAGCUCGAAUUUCUCCGCCAGCAAACGCCGGUGGUUGUCUCGGCAAACUGACAUUUUGGGGUUGACCAGGCAUAUCACAGGCAUCACUAAUUCAAAGAGAUUGACCAAUAGCAAUUAAUAAAUAUUUAUUUAAUUGUUCUUAGGUUGGUGUUUUCAGCGAAGUUUCCACUCAAUCAGAGCUUGAAUAGUGAUCAGUGACUUGAGACAAUAGACCAGGUCAGUCAACUUUGCUAGCAAUUACUGCAAUCAUGUUCGUAUACCAGCCACUUAUUAUUCUAGCUAUAGCCAUCUCAAAAUCCAUCCAAAUAUAUCAGAAAGUUUAUUCAGUGUCCAGGAGAAGCUAGUACUGAAAAAUCUGAGAAAUGCAGCAAACUCUCGUUUCUUCCUUUUGCUUCAUCUUGCUGGCUUUCUCCUCCUCCAUAGUCCUUGGUAAAAAACCCAACUGUGGGAAACAUGGCCCGGUUAUCAAAUUUCCAUUCACCUUCAAAGGUAGCUACCCAGAAAAUCCUGGGUAUCCUGGGUUUCUUGUAUCCUGCAAUGAAAAGAAGGAAACCGUUCUUGAGCUUCCAAUCCCAGUUAAAUUUGCAAUCAAGACCAUAGACUAUGAGGCUCAGCGAAUCCAGCUAUAUGACCCAGAAUAUUGCUUGCUUGCCAACCUUUCGAAAGUCCACGACAUGUCAAUCUUUCCCUUCCAGUACUCAGAAUACCAAAUGACUAAUAUUACCUUAUUCAAUUGUUCUUCAGCUGAAAGAGAAUCGCCGGCCUCGUGGCUUUAUUCAGUCCCCUGCUUUGAAGAACGCCCUGGCUACCAAAUCUAUUGGGCUUCUUCUUCAAGAAGCAUUGAGUACUUGCCCCUCCUGUCUUGUACAAAGAUGCGUACUCUUUCAUCAGUACCAUACUGGUCUGAGCUUUAUUUGGAAUGGUCUGAACCAAAUUGUACACUAUGUGAAGCACAGGGAAAUAUCUGUGGAUUGAAGAACAAUGGCACCACUAGUACUGAGAUUGAAUGCCUUCCCAUGAAGAAAGGAGGUACAGGGUAACAUCUAUUUAUAAGUUUUGCUAUAUGUUUGUUACAGAUUCCAAGCAUUUUUGCACAUGAUGAUUAUUCCUGCAUUUGUGAAAUGAGAUUAGUAUUAGCAUAUGCGCAUGAAAUUCCAUUCCAAGCAAGCAUAUUUGCACAUGAUGACUUGAUAGAAGUUGGAAACUUUGCACAGAUAAUGAAUCACAGGAAAUAGGGAGCUCAGUUAGUCCCAUAUAACUUUUCUAAAAGCUUUCAUCUGCUGUCCUUGUAAUGUUACACCAUUACUUAUGUCGUAGCUCACAACUCAACUAUGUAAUUUGACAAAUAUGGACCGAUUUUGUUUGCUUGUUGUUUUUACAGGUUCGGGGAAAACUUUAUUAGCUACGGGUGAGUUUUCUAAGAGAUUCUUUAGUUUGUUUCAUAUCUAGAAGAGAUGUAUUGUUGAAAUUUACUCAGAGUAUUAACUUGCAGGUACAUCCCUGGGUUCAUUUGUACUCGUACUACUUGCUGGUGCAGCUUUUCAUGCUUAUAGUUCUGAUAGAAAGGAGAAACAGAAUCAAUUAAAAAUUGAAAGAUUUUUAGAGGAUUACAGAGCUCUCAAACCAAGCAGAUACUCUUAUUCAGACAUCAAGAGGAUUACAGAUCAGUUCAAGGACAAAUUAGGCCAAGGGGCAUAUGGGACCGUUUAUAAGGGAGAGCUUUCUUCUGAAUGUUUUGUUGCCGUGAAAGUCCUCACUAGUACUAAAGGAGAUGGGGAAGAGUUUGUUAAUGAAGUGGGAACAAUGGGUCAUAUCCAUCAUGUCAAUGUGGUUCGCUUGGUUGGAUUCUGCGCUGAUGGGUUUAGAAGAGCUCUUGUUUAUGACUUCUUACCUAAUGGUUCACUGCAAGAUUUCAUUUCAUCAGCAGACAAUAACAAUUCUUUCCUUGGUUGGGAUAAAUUGCAAGAUAUUGCUCUAGGCAUAGCCAAAGGAAUUGAAUAUCUGCACCAGGGGUGCGAUCAACGAAUCCUCCAUUUUGAUAUCAAACCCCACAAUGUUCUGCUUGACCAUAACUUCACCCCAAAGAUUUCUGAUUUUGGUUUGGCCAAGUUAUGUUCCAAGGAUCAGAGUAUAGUGUCAAUGACUACAGCUAGGGGAACAAUGGGGUACAUUGCACCUGAAGUGUUCUCCAGGAACUUCGGGAAUGUGUCCUAUAAGUCAGAUGUGUAUAGUUAUGGAAUGGUACUGCUCGAGAUGGUAGGAGGAAGAAAGAACAUCAGUUCAACCACAGAGAACGCACCUGAAGUUUACUACCCAGAAUGGAUCUAUAAUCUACUAGAAGAAGGUGAAGACCUCCGAAUCCAUGUUGGGGAAGAAGCAGAUGCUAAAAUUGCAAAGAGACUUGCGAUUGUGGGUCUCUGGUGCAUCCAAUGGCACCCGGUUGAUCGUCCCUCUAUGAAAGGGGUGGUUCAGAUGUUGGAAGGAGGAGAAAACUUGACUAUGCCUCCAAAUCCUUUUGCCUCUCAAGGUCCUGCAGGAACAAGUGCAAGCACACCUGCCAGAAGAUUAAACCUUCAACUGGAACCAAUUGCUGAGUUAGAGUGAUAUGUAUAAUUUUUUAUAGUGUAUGCACAGUUAAGAACAUUAAGGUAACAAAAAUUAUCAUCAAGUUUAUGUAAUCAUGGUUGCUGUAACUAUUCUGCCCGGAGUUAUAGAAUGGUUAGUUGGUUCCAUGUCACAAUGAGAAUUAUACUUUUCAUAACCCAGCAGCCUGCAUUUGUAAUAUGGGUCUUUUUCGGCCUGAGCUGCUGAGCGACUGAUGCAGUGUAUAUUAUUAAAAUAAGAACAAGCCCAGAAUCGAUUAGUGCCAUAGCGACUCUUAUAACACAGCUAACUAAACAAUGACAGAGCAUUAGAGCACUUGUAACUAAAGCCAUGAAAGAGAUAUUAUUUAGAUCAGUAGUGUUUACCUGGUCCUCAUAGCCUCUGCCCACUUUAGUUGAAUGAAGUUGUGGAAAUUUCGAGCGACUUGUCGUUGGUACGUAGCUCUCCAGAUUACCCCAACGUAUAGGAAGGGACACUCCCUGCUGCAUGACUUUGAUCUUGUAUAUAGUUUUAAGUCUUGGUCAGUCUGUAACGUGUAGUAGAGUGCUACAGUCCAAUUCCAAAAACCCAAUAAAUUAAGCUCCGGUCUCUGUACGUAAUUGAGUAAUUAAGUCUAGCUAGUCUCUGUAUUCUGUAAAGUUGGAAAUGAUCACGUCAAGAAACUCCAUUAAUUAAAAGUAUAUAGACUUUGGUACUGUGAAUCUGGAAUGCGCAAGUCUUUUCUGAUCUCUCUCCAUGGGAACAACUGGGAUUAGGAGCCUGUCCCUGCAGUGUGCUUGGGUUUCAAUUGUAGCCUUUUUGGUUCUUGGCUCAUCUGGUCAUAACGAUGUGGGUGCGUCCAAUCUUAAAGAUGGUGCCAAGUGCGUCCCUUCUUCUUGCGGCGACAUCCACGACAUAAGCUACCCAUUGCGACUACAACAAGAUCCAGAGCAGUGUGGCGACUCACGCUACACUUUGGAAUGUGACCACAACAACAUCACAGUGCUGCGCCUAUUUUCUCAAGAGUACUACGUCAAGGCCAUUGACUACGACUUCAACAGAAUCCGAGUGGUGGAUCCUGGCCUUGAGAAGAACAACUGCUCUUCCCUUCCUCAUUUUCCUUUGUCCCCAUAUAACUUCAGUUACCAUUCAUGGGAACCAUAUAAUGUUCCAGUAAUUUUCUUGAAAUGUGCAAAUCCAGUGAAUUCUUCUCGGUAUGUGAGCACGGCUCCUUGUAUUAACUCCGAAAUGUAUGGUUAUGCCGUUCCAGGCAAUAUCUCCACCGAAGAUGUGGAGAAUGGGUGCACUGUAUAUUGGAUGUCUCUGACCACUUGGAUGCCCUACGAGGAGGACCGAAACGUUUCCUAUCAAGAUAUACACGAUCAAAUGGUGUACGGCUUCGAGCUUCGGUAUUCGACGAGUCUGGUUGACCCUUGCCGCGGUCAAUGGAAUUAUCCGGGCCUUGAUACUUAUUCCGAUAGAGAAUGUUAUCCGCGCAACAUACGAGGUAUAAGUAUACAGUGUCGAUCGAGUACGCCAUGAUUUCUCUACUUGAUUUUACGAAUGCUAAUUAGUUAUGUAUAUUCUUUGUCAUGCACUCCAGGUUUCUUUCUUAUUGGUUGGAGGCUUUUCACCGGUAAGUGUCAUUUCUCUCAACGUACUUUCUAUAUAUCCACUAAUCUGUGGCCUAACUUAUUGUCAACGAGAUCGAUGGUUGCCUCUCAUAUUGCAUAUAUGACCUAAUUAAUUAUGUAGAAUUUGUGCUGCAAUUAAACCCAGCUCCUUCAAAUCUUUUGCAGAUUAUUGGGCUACCGAGAGUAUUAUCGCUGGCAGUAUUGUAGCGGCAAAACUUGUAUUUGGAGGUCCAUUUGUGAUCGCACUUCUGAUACAUAAGUGGCGAAGAAGGCAUUGGUCAACCUAUCGCACUAUAGAAGAUUUUCUGCAUUCUGACAACUUCAUGCCUAUAAGGUACUCUUACUCCAACAUUAAGAAAAUGUCAGCUGGAUUCAAAGAUAAGUUGGGGGCAGGGGGUUACGGUUUUGUAUUUAAAUGCAAAUUACGGAGUGGCCGCUUUGGAGCCAUUAAAUUGUUAGGGAAGUCUAAUGCUAAUGGAGAAGAUUUCAUGAGUGAAGUAGCUACUAUUGGAAGGAUUCAUCAUGUUAAUGUGGUGCAGCUUGUUGGUUACUGUGUCGAGGGUUCAAAGCGCGCCUUAGUAUAUGAUUUCAUGCCAAAUGGUUCUCUUGAUAGAUACAUUUACUCCAAAGAAGAAUCCAUCCCUUUAAGUUACAAGAAAAUAUAUGAGAUUGCAGUUGGAGUCGCUCAAGGUAUUGAAUAUUUGCAUCAAGGUUGUGAAAUGCAAAUUCUGCAUUUUGAUAUCAAGCCUCAUAAUAUCCUACUUGAUGAGAAUUUUGUCCCAAAGAUUUCUGACUUUGGGCUAGCGAAACUAUAUCCAGCAAACAAUAGCAUUGUCUCAUCAAUGGCAGCAAGAGGCACCAUGGGAUACAUUGCUCCCGAGUUGUUUUAUAAAAACAUUGGUGGUGUUUCGUACAAAGCUGAUGUUUAUAGUUUUGGAAUGUUGUUGAUGGAAAUGGCAAGCAGAAGGAAAAAUCUGAAUGCAAAUGUGGAUCACUCUAGCCAAAUUUACUUCCCCUCAUGGGUGCAUGAUCAAUAUAAUGAGGGGAAGGACUUGGAGAUUGGGGAUGCUACAGCGGAGGAGAAGAAAUUAAUUAGAAAAAUGAUAGUAGCUGCCUUGUGGUGUAUUCAAAUGAAACCAAGUGAUCGACCUUCAAUGAAGAGAGUUACACAGAUGCUCGUAGGAGAUGUUGAGAACCUAGAAAUGCCACCAAAGCCUUCUCUAUGCCCACAACCGACGCCUGUAAGCAAUCUGAUUCCAGCAUGUUCAAAUGUGGAGCUAACAUGUACUCUUUCUGCUAGGUGAUGAUAGCUGGCUACCAUUCAUUCACUUUACUUCGUGUAACUUAUGAAAUUUUAGAUCAUCUUAGAAUUGCAGAUUAUUGUAGUUUUAAAGAUGAACUGCCUAUGAAAGUUGAAAUAUUGUACUUCGUCAUUACUUUGCUGCCUCCAGGUUUCUGUAUAUAUGUGCCUUGUAACUUUCAUAUUUACUUUUCAUACCCUCUGGUUUCUGAAGAAGUAUUUCUUAACAGACUUCUCAACCUAGUAGUUUCAAAGCCUCCAAACAAAGGCCUAAUUUGGAUUUGUUUACAGUCUUACAGAUAAAUAGGCUGAAAAUUAAAGAUUGUUCCACAAGGCUUAUUUAAGUUUAUAUCGAUGAAAAAGGCUUAUAAAGUUCUUAAUGUAUAUUUGUUCAAGGUUUUGGUUGGGGGCCUUGGACAAUGAGAGGUUUUGGGUGGGAGAUCAAUAUGGUUCCUUUUAAUUUGGUACUUUUACUUGGGUUCAGGUUAUCUCUGCAAUAAAAAAAUAAGAGGAAAAAAAAAAGGGAUUUUGUGUGUUCUGAGAUACUGAUGCAUGCUUCUUUAGGUAGUAUCUAAAUUGGCUUAAUACUUAUUUAUUGGCAAAGUGGCCAAACUCGUGAUUUUGUUUCUUUGAGCUUUUACAUUUCUACACAGUACCAAGAGAUUCAUGGUCAGCCACUAUUAGAUUUAAAUCUAAUGAUAGAGAGAAUUAUUUUAAGUAAAGUUAUUUUGUUUUAAACUCUUGGAUGUAAAUACAAUAGUAACUGACUAUGAAUCUCUUGUUUAGUCAUUGAUCAUGUGAACAUUACUGUUUCUACACAAUAAUUUCUCUUCAUAAUCAUGUACUCGAAUUGUCAUACAAUUUGUUGGCAAAUGUUGCAUGAAUUAGAGAGGGUGAGGUCAACGACACUAGGGCAGCCUGGGACGAAGGUUUAGAUUUUCACUCAACACUGGUUUAUGAACUACAAUACAGUUCACAGAAAGGAGAUAGCAAUAUGUCAAAAUGAUGGCGCCUGGUUUAUUAUAUCAAAAAGAAACAAAAGAUGAACGGUUCAAGCAUUUGAAAAUUGGAGUUGGGGGUAGCAGAUAGAAACUGUGGAAGAAUAGUAGAAAACAAAGGUUUUGCUCGACCGAUUCCUUCGAAACCAACAUUAAGCUGAUUCCAGAGAUCUCACGGUGUUCGCGGCCUCUUUUUAUAUAUAGUUGUUGAUGGCGGACAGGCAAAAAUGUCAGGUCAUGACAGUACAGACCGAAAGCUUGAGA